rnacentral:rRNA from 1 species
GAUGAACGCUGGCGGCGUGCCUAAUACAUGCAAGUCGAGCGAACAGACGAGGAGCUUGCUCCUCUGACGUUAGCGGCGGACGGGUGAGUAACACGUGGAUAACCUACCUAUAAGACUGGGAUAACUUCGGGAAACCGGAGCUAAUACCGGAUAAUAUAUUGAACCGCAUGGUUCAAUAGUGAAAGACGGUUUUGCUGUCACUUAUAGAUGGAUCCGCGCCGCAUUAGCUAGUUGGUAAGGUAACGGCUUACCAAGGCAACGAUGCGUAGCCGACCUGAGAGGGUGAUCAGCCACACUGGAACUGAGACACGGUCCAGACUCCUACGGGAGGCAGCAGUAGGGAAUCUUCCGCAAUGGGCGAAAGCUUGACGGAGCAACGCCGCGUGAGUGAUGAAGGUCUUCGGAUCGUAAAACUCUGUUGUUAGGGAAGAACAAAUGUGUAAGUAACUAUGCACGUCUUGACGGUACCUAAUCAGAAAGCCACGGCUAACUACGUG